AAAGGAAUUGACGGGGACCCGCACAAGUAGUGGAUCGUGUUCUUUAAUUCGAUGCUAAACGAAGAACCUUACCAGGGCUUGACAUCCCAAGAAUUUCUGCGAAAGCAGAAAGUGCUUUAUUGAACUUGGUGACAGGUGCUGCAUGGCCGUCGUCAGCUCGUGUCGUGAGAUGUUUGGUUAAGUCCAUCAACGAGCGCAACCCUUAUGAAUAGUUGGAUUUUUCUAUUCAGACUGCCCCGGUAACGGGGAGGAAGGAGGGGAUGAUGUCAGGUCAGUAUUGCCCUUACGUCCUGGGCUAGAAACGCGAUACAAUGGCCGGUACAACGCGAAGCCAACCCGCGAGGGGGAGCAAAUCGCACCAAAGCCGGUCCCAGUUCGGAUUGUAGGCUGAAACUCGCCUGCAUGAAGCCGGAAUUACUAGUAAUCGCAGGUCAGCAAACUGCGGUGAAUACGUUCCCGGGUCUUGUACACACCGCCCGU
rnacentral:rRNA from 1 species